GAGAACACGAGGGCCACGCUAGAGCAGCAGCUUCGUGACUCCGAGGAGCGCGCUGCGGAGCUGGCGAGUCAGCUGGAGUCCACUACUGCUGCGAAGAUGUCAGCGGAGCAGGACCGCGAGAACACGAGGGCCGCGCUAGAGCAGCAGCUUCUCGAAUCCGAGGAGCGCGCUGCGGAGCUGAAGGCCGAGCUAGAGGCCACUGCUGCUGCGAAGUCGUCGGCGGAGCAGGACCGCGAGAACACGAGGGCCGCGUUGGAGCAGCAGCUUCGUGACUCCGAGGAGCGCGCUGCGGAGCUGGCGAGUCAGCUGGAGUCCACUACUGCUGCGAAGACGUCGGCGGAGCAGGACCGCGAGAACACGAGGGCCACGCUAGAGCAGCAGCUUCGUGACUCCGAGGAGCGCGCUGCGGAGCUGGCGAGUCAGCUGGAGUCCACUACUGCUGCGAAGAUGUCGGCGGAGCAGGACCGCGAGAACACGAGGGCCACGCUAGAGCAGCAGCUUCGUGACUCCGAGGAGCGCGCUGCGGAGCUGGCGAGUCAGCUGGAGUCCACUACUGCUGCGAAGAUGUCGGCGGAGCAGGACCGCGAGAACACGAGGGCCACGCUAGAGCAGCAGCUUCGUGACUCCGAGGAGCGCGCUGCGGAGCUGGCGAGUCAGCUGGAGUCCACUACUGCUGCGAAGAUGUCAGCGGAGCAGGACCGCGAGAACACGAGGGCCGCGCUAGAGCAGCAGCUUCUCGAAUCCGAGGAGCGCGCUGCGGAGCUGAAGGCCGAGCUAGAGGCCACUGCUGCUGCGAAGUCGUCGGCGGAGCAGGACCGCGAGAACACGAGGGCCACGCUAGAGCAGCAGCUUCGUGACUCCGAGGAGCGCGCUGCGGAGCUGGCGAGCCAGCUGGAGGCCACUGCUGCUGCGAAGUCGUCGGCGGAGCAGGACCGCGAGAACACGAGGGCCGCGUUGGAGCAGCAGCUUCGUGACUCCGAGGAGCGCGCUGGGGAGCUGGCGAGCCAGCUGGAGGCCACUGCUGCUGCGAAGUCGUCGGCGGAGCAGGACCGCGAGAACACGAGGGCCGCGUUGGAGCAGCAGCUUCUCGAAUCCGAGGCGCGCGCUGCGGAGCUGGCGAGCCAGCUGGAGGCCACUGCUGCUGCGAAGUCGUCGGCGGAGCAGGACCGCGAGAACACGAGGGCCGCGUUGGAGCAGCAGCUUCGCGAAUCCGAGGCGCGCGCUGGGGAGCUGGCGAGCCAGCUGGAGGCCACUGCUGCUGCGAAGAUGUCAGCGGAGCAGGACCGCGAGAACACGAGGGCCGCGUUGGAGCAGCAGCUUCGCGAAUCCGAGGAGCGCGCUGCGGAGCUGGCGAGCCAGCUGGAGGCCACUGCUGCUGCGAAGUCGUCGGCGGAGCAGGACCGCGAGAACACGAGGGCCGCGUUGGAGCAGCAGCUUCGCGAAUCCGAGGCGCGCGCUGCGGAGCUGGCGAGCCAGCUGGAGGCCACUGCUGCUGCGAAGAUGUCGGCGGAGCAGGACCGCGAGAACACGAGGGCCACGCUAGAGCAGCAGCUUCUCGAAUCCGAGGAGCGCGCUGGGGAGCUGGCGAGCCAGCUGGAGGCCACUGCUGCUGCGAAGUCGUCGGCGGAGCAGGACCGCGAGAACACGAGGGCCGCGUUGGAGCAGCAGCUUCGCGAAUCCGAGGCGCGCGCUGCGGAGCUGGCGAGCCAGCUGGAGGCCACUGCUGCUGCGAAGACGUCGGCGGAGCAGGACCGCGAGAACACGAGGGCCGCGUUGGAGCAGCAGCUUCGCGAAUCCGAGGAGCGCGCUGCGGAGCUGGCGAGCCAGCUGGAGGCCACUGCUGCUGCGAAGAUGUCGGCGGAGCAGGACCGCGAGAACACGAGGGCCACGCUAGAGCAGCAGCUUCUCGAAUCCGAGGAGCGCGCUGCGGAGCUGGCGAGCCAGCUGGAGGCCACUGCUGCUGCGAAGAUGUCGGCGGAGCAGGACCGCGAGAACACGAGGGCCACGCUAGAGCAGCAGCUUCUCGAAUCCGAGGAGCGCGCUGCGGAGCUGGCGAGCCAGCUGGAGGCCACUGCUGCUGCGAAGUCGUCGGCGGAGCAGGACCGCGAGAACACGAGGGCCGCGUUGGAGCAGCAGCUUCGGGAAUCCGAGGCGCGCGCUGCGGAGCUGGCGAGCCAGCUGGAGGCCACUGCUGCUGCGAAGACGUCGGCGGAGCAGGACCGCGAGAACACGAGGGCCACGCUAGAGCAGCAGCUUCGCGAAUCCGAGGCGCGCGCUGGGGAGCUGGCGAGCCAGCUGGAGGCCACUGCUGCUGCGAAGUCGUCGGCGGAGCAGGACCGCGAGAACACGAGGGCCGCGUUGGAGCAGCAGCUUCGGGAAUCCGAGGAGCGCGCUGCGGAGCUGAUGCGGAAGUUAGAGGCGACUGCUGCUGCGAAGUCGUCGGUAGAGCAGGACCGUGAGAGCAUGAAGGUAGCGCUUGAGGCGCGCACCGCGGAGCUGGCUUCUCGAUUGAAGGCGACGGCUGCUGCGAAGACGUCGGCCGAGCAGGAGCGAGAUAGGACAAGGGCUACCUUUGAGGAGAGGCUAAGAGUUGCUGAAGUGCGCGCUGUGCAGCUGGCGAGUCAGCUGGAGGCCACUGCUGCUGCGAAGUCGUCGGUGGAGCAGGACCGCGAAAAGACGAGGACAGCUCUGGAAGCGCGCGUUGCGGAGCUGGCGAGCAAGCUGGAGGCCACUGCUGCUGCGAAGGCUUUGGUAGAGCAGGACCGCGAGAACACGAGGGCCACUUUAGAGGAGCGACUCCGGGUUGCUGAGGUGCGGGCUGCGGAGCUGGCAGCGCAGCUGGAGGCCACUGCUGCUGCGAAGUCGUCGGUGGAGCAGGACCGCGAAAAGACGAGGACGGCUCUGGAAGCGCGCGUUGCGGAGCUGGCGAGCAAGCUGGAGGCCACUGCUGCGGCGAAGACUUCGGCGGAGCAGGACCGCGAGAGCACGAGGGCCACCUUGAAGGAGCGGCUUCGGAUUGCGGAGGUGCGCGCUGCGGAGCUGGCAACCCAGUUGGAGGCGACUUCGGCUGCGAAGACGUCGGUGGAGCAGGACCGCGAGAGAACGAGGGCGGCUCUGGAGGCGCGCGUUGCGGAGCUGGCGAGCAAGCUGGAGUCGACGGCGGCUGCGAAGGCCUUGGUUGAGCAGGACCGCGAGAGCACGAGGGCCACCUUGGAGGAGCGGCUUCGGAUUGCGGAGGCGCGCGCUGCGGAACUUGCCAUUGAGUUGGAUGCCACUGCUGCUGCGAAGGCUUCGAUGGAACAUGACCGCGAGAGCACGAGGGCCACUUUAGAGGAGCGGCUUCGGAUUGCGGAGGUGCGCGGAGCGGAACUGGCAAGUCAGCUAGAGGCCACUGCUGCUGCAAAAGCGUUGUUGGAGCAGGACCGGGAGAGAACGAGGGCGGCUCUGGAGGCUCGAGCUGCGGAGCUGGCGAGCAAGCUGGAGGCCACUGCUGCUGCGAAGAUGUCGGCGGAGCAGGACCGCGAGAGAACCAGGGCGGCCAUAGAGGAGCAGCUUCGGCUCGCUGAGGUGCGCGCUGCGGAGCUGGCGAGCCAGCUGGAGGCCACUGCUGCUGCAAAAGCGUUGUUGGAGCAGGACCGCGAGAGAACGAGGGCGGCUCUGGAAGGCCGCGCUGCGGAGCUGGCGCGAAAGCUGGAGGCCACUGCUAUUGCCAAGACGGCGGUGGAACAGGACCGGGAAAGCACGAGGGCCACCUUGGAGGAGCGCUUGCGCGGUGCUGAGGUGCGCGUUGCGGAGCUGGCGAGUCAGCUGGAGGCCACUGCUGCUGCGAAGACGUCGGCGGAGCAGGAGCGUGCGAACACUAGGGCGGCGUUGGAGGCCCGCGCUGCGGAGCUGGCGAGCAAGCUGGAGGCGACUGCUGCUGCGAAGUUCGCGGUGGAGCAGGACCGUGAGAGGACGAGGGCCACCUUGGAGGAGCGCUUGCGCGGUGCUGAGGUGCGCGCUGCGGAGCUGGCGCGCAAGCUGGAGGCUACUGCUGCUGCGAAGGCUUCGAUGGAACAUGAUCGCGAGAGCACGAGGGCGGCUUUGGAAGAGCGGUUGCGGGGGGCGGAGGUUCGUGCUGCGGAGCUGGCGAGCAAGCUUGAGGCAACUGCGGCUGCGAAGGCCGCAGUGGAGCAGGACCGCGAGAGGACUCGGGCGACCUUUGAAAAGCAGCUUCGUGACUCCGAGGCGCGGGUUGCGGAGCUUUCAGGGCAGCUAGAGGCCACUGCUGCUGCGAAGACGUCGGCGGAGCAGGACCGCGAGAACACGAAGGCUGCUCUGCAGGCGCGCGCUGCGGAGCUGAAGGCCCAGUUGGAGUCCACUGCUGCUGCGAAGAUGUCAGCGGAGCAGGACCGCGAGAACACGAGGGCCGCGUUGGAGCAGCGGCUUCGUGAAUCCGAGGAGCACGCUGCGGAGCUGAAGGCCCAGCUGGAGUCCACUGCUGCUGCGAAGACGUCGGCGGACCAGGACCGCGAGAGGAUGAGGGUCGCGCUGCAGGAGCGGCUGCGCGUCGCUGAGUUGCGCGCUGCGGAGCUGGCGAGUCAGCUGGAGGCCACUGUUGCCGCGAAGACGUCGGCGGAGCAGGACCGCGAGAACACGAGGGCCACGCUAGAGCAGCAGCUUCGCGAAUCCGAGGCGCGCGCUGCGGAGCUGGCGAGCCAGCUGGAGGCCACUGCUGCUGCGAAGAUGUCAGCGGAGCAGGACCGCGAGAACACGAGGGCCACGCUAGAGCAGCAGCUUCGCGAAUCCGAGGCGCGCGCUGCAGAGCUGGCGAGUCAGCUGGAGUCCACUGCUGCUGCGAAGACGUCGGCGGAGCAGGACCGCGAGAACACGAGGGCCACGCUAGAGCAGCAGCUUCGCGAAUCCGAGGCGCGCGCUGCGGAGCUGGCGAGCCAGCUGGAGGCCACUGCUGCUGCGAAGUCGUCGGCGGAGCAGGACCGCGAGAACACAAAGGCUGCUCUGCAGGCGCGCGCUGCGGAGCUGAAGGCCCAGUUGGAGUCCACUGCUGCUGCGAAGAUGUCAGCGGAGCAGGACCGCGAGAACACGAGGGCCGCGUUGGAGCAGCGGCUUCGUGAAUCCGAGGAGCACGCUGCGGAGCUGAAGGCCCAGCUGGAGUCCACUGCUGCUGCGAAGACGUCGGCGGAGCAGGACCGCGAGAACACGAGGGCCACGCUAGAGCAGCAGCUUCGCGAAUCCGAGGCGCGCGCUGCGGAGCUGGCGAGCCAGCUGGAGGCCACUGCUGCUGCGAAGACGUCGGCGGAGCAGGACCGCGAGAACACGAAGGCUGCUCUGCAGGCGCGCGCUGCGGAGCUGAAGGCCCAGUUGGAGUCCACUGCUGCUGCGAAGAUGUCAGCGGAGCAGGACCGCGAGAACACGAGGGCCGCGUUGGAGCAGCGGCUUCGUGAAUCCGAGGAGCACGCUGCGGAGCUGAAGGCCCAGCUGGAGUCCACUGCUGCUGCGAAGACGUCGGCGGACCAGGACCGCGAGAGGAUGAGGGUCGCGCUGCAGGAGCGGCUGCGCGUCGCUGAGUUGCGCGCUGCGGAGCUGGCGAGUCAGCUGGAGGCCACUGUUGCCGCGAAGACGUCGGCGGAGCAGGACCGCGAGAACACGAGGGCCACGCUAGAGCAGCAGCUUCGCGAAUCCGAGGCGCGCGCUGCGGAGCUGGCGAGCCAGCUGGAGGCCACUGCUGCUGCGAAGAUGUCAGCGGAGCAGGACCGCGAGAACACGAGGGCCACGCUAGAGCAGCAGCUUCGCGAAUCCGAGGCGCGCGCUGCAGAGCUGGCGAGUCAGCUGGAGUCCACUGCUGCUGCGAAGUCGUCGGCGGAGCAGGACCGCGAGAACACGAGGGCCGCGUUGGAGCAGCAGCUUCGCGAAUCCGAGGCGCGCGCUGCGGAGCUGGCGAGCCAGCUGGAGGCCACUGCUGCUGCGAAGACGUCGGCGGAGCAGGACCGCGAGAACACGAGGGCCGCGUUGGAGCAGCAGCUUCGCGAAUCCGAGGAGCGCGCUGCGGAGCUGGCGAGCCAGCUGGAGGCCACUGCUGCUGCGAAGAUGUCGGCGGAGCAGGACCGCGAGAACACGAGGGCCACGCUAGAGCAGCAGCUUCUCGAAUCCGAGGAGCGCGCUGCGGAGCUGGCGAGCCAGCUGGAGGCCACUGCUGCUGCGAAGAUGUCGGCGGAGCAGGACCGCGAGAACACGAGGGCCACGCUAGAGCAGCAGCUUCUCGAAUCCGAGGAGCGCGCUGCGGAGCUGGCGAGCCAGCUGGAGGCCACUGCUGCUGCGAAGUCGUCGGCGGAGCAGGACCGCGAGAACACGAGGGCCGCGUUGGAGCAGCAGCUUCGGGAAUCCGAGGCGCGCGCUGCGGAGCUGGCGAGCCAGCUGGAGGCCACUGCUGCUGCGAAGACGUCGGCGGAGCAGGACCGCGAGAACACGAGGGCCACGCUAGAGCAGCAGCUUCGCGAAUCCGAGGCGCGCGCUGGGGAGCUGGCGAGCCAGCUGGAGGCCACUGCUGCUGCGAAGUCGUCGGCGGAGCAGGACCGCGAGAACACGAGGGCCGCGUUGGAGCAGCAGCUUCGGGAAUCCGAGGAGCGCGCUGCGGAGCUGAUGCGGAAGUUAGAGGCGACUGCUGCUGCGAAGUCGUCGGUAGAGCAGGACCGUGAGAGCAUGAAGGUAGCGCUUGAGGCGCGCACCGCGGAGCUGGCUUCUCGAUUGAAGGCGACGGCUGCUGCGAAGACGUCGGCCGAGCAGGAGCGAGAUAGGACAAGGGCUACCUUUGAGGAGAGGCUAAGAGUUGCUGAAGUGCGCGCUGUGCAGCUGGCGAGUCAGCUGGAGGCCACUGCUGCUGCGAAGUCGUCGGUGGAGCAGGACCGCGAAAAGACGAGGACAGCUCUGGAAGCGCGCGUUGCGGAGCUGGCGAGCAAGCUGGAGGCCACUGCUGCUGCGAAGGCUUUGGUAGAGCAGGACCGCGAGAACACGAGGGCCACUUUAGAGGAGCGACUCCGGGUUGCUGAGGUGCGGGCUGCGGAGCUGGCAGCGCAGCUGGAGGCCACUGCUGCUGCGAAGUCGUCGGUGGAGCAGGACCGCGAAAAGACGAGGACGGCUCUGGAAGCGCGCGUUGCGGAGCUGGCGAGCAAGCUGGAGGCCACUGCUGCGGCGAAGACUUCGGCGGAGCAGGACCGCGAGAGCACGAGGGCCACCUUGAAGGAGCGGCUUCGGAUUGCGGAGGUGCGCGCUGCGGAGCUGGCAACCCAGUUGGAGGCGACUUCGGCUGCGAAGACGUCGGUGGAGCAGGACCGCGAGAGAACGAGGGCGGCUCUGGAGGCGCGCGUUGCGGAGCUGGCGAGCAAGCUGGAGUCGACGGCGGCUGCGAAGGCCUUGGUUGAGCAGGACCGCGAGAGCACGAGGGCCACCUUGGAGGAGCGGCUUCGGAUUGCGGAGGCGCGCGCUGCGGAACUUGCCAUUGAGUUGGAUGCCACUGCUGCUGCGAAGGCUUCGAUGGAACAUGACCGCGAGAGCACGAGGGCCACUUUAGAGGAGCGGCUUCGGAUUGCGGAGGUGCGCGGAGCGGAACUGGCAAGUCAGCUAGAGGCCACUGCUGCUGCAAAAGCGUUGUUGGAGCAGGACCGGGAGAGAACGAGGGCGGCUCUGGAGGCUCGAGCUGCGGAGCUGGCGAGCAAGCUGGAGGCCACUGCUGCUGCGAAGAUGUCGGCGGAGCAGGACCGCGAGAGAACCAGGGCGGCCAUAGAGGAGCAGCUUCGGCUCGCUGAGGUGCGCGCUGCGGAGCUGGCGAGCCAGCUGGAGGCCACUGCUGCUGCAAAAGCGUUGUUGGAGCAGGACCGCGAGAGAACGAGGGCGGCUCUGGAAGGCCGCGCUGCGGAGCUGGCGCGAAAGCUGGAGGCCACUGCUAUUGCCAAGACGGCGGUGGAACAGGACCGGGAAAGCACGAGGGCCACCUUGGAGGAGCGCUUGCGCGGUGCUGAGGUGCGCGUUGCGGAGCUGGCGAGUCAGCUGGAGGCCACUGCUGCUGCGAAGACGUCGGCGGAGCAGGAGCGUGCGAACACUAGGGCGGCGUUGGAGGCCCGCGCUGCGGAGCUGGCGAGCAAGCUGGAGGCGACUGCUGCUGCGAAGUUCGCGGUGGAGCAGGACCGUGAGAGGACGAGGGCCACCUUGGAGGAGCGCUUGCGCGGUGCUGAGGUGCGCGCUGCGGAGCUGGCGCGCAAGCUGGAGGCUACUGCUGCUGCGAAGGCUUCGAUGGAACAUGAUCGCGAGAGCACGAGGGCGGCUUUGGAAGAGCGGUUGCGGGGGGCGGAGGUUCGUGCUGCGGAGCUGGCGAGCAAGCUUGAGGCAACUGCGGCUGCGAAGGCCGCAGUGGAGCAGGACCGCGAGAGGACUCGGGCGACCUUUGAAAAGCAGCUUCGUGACUCCGAGGCGCGGGUUGCGGAGCUUUCAGGGCAGCUAGAGGCCACUGCUGCUGCGAAGACGUCGGCGGAGCAGGACCGCGAGAACACGAAGGCUGCUCUGCAGGCGCGCGCUGCGGAGCUGAAGGCCCAGUUGGAGUCCACUGCUGCUGCGAAGAUGUCAGCGGAGCAGGACCGCGAGAACACGAGGGCCGCGUUGGAGCAGCGGCUUCGUGAAUCCGAGGAGCACGCUGCGGAGCUGAAGGCCCAGCUGGAGUCCACUGCUGCUGCGAAGACGUCGGCGGACCAGGACCGCGAGAGGAUGAGGGUCGCGCUGCAGGAGCGGCUGCGCGUCGCUGAGUUGCGCGCUGCGGAGCUGGCGAGUCAGCUGGAGGCCACUGUUGCCGCGAAGACGUCGGCGGAGCAGGACCGCGAGAACACGAGGGCCACGCUAGAGCAGCAGCUUCGCGAAUCCGAGGCGCGCGCUGCGGAGCUGGCGAGCCAGCUGGAGGCCACUGCUGCUGCGAAGAUGUCAGCGGAGCAGGACCGCGAGAACACGAGGGCCACGCUAGAGCAGCAGCUUCGCGAAUCCGAGGCGCGCGCUGCAGAGCUGGCGAGUCAGCUGGAGUCCACUGCUGCUGCGAAGACGUCGGCGGAGCAGGACCGCGAGAACACGAGGGCCACGCUAGAGCAGCAGCUUCGCGAAUCCGAGGCGCGCGCUGCGGAGCUGGCGAGCCAGCUGGAGGCCACUGCUGCUGCGAAGUCGUCGGCGGAGCAGGACCGCGAGAACACAAAGGCUGCUCUGCAGGCGCGCGCUGCGGAGCUGGCGAGCCAGCUGGAGUCCACUGCUGCUGCGAAGAUGUCAGCGGAGCAGGACCGCGAGAACACGAGGGCUGCGUUGGAGCAGCGGCUUCGCGAAUCCGAGGAGCACGCUGCGGAGCUGGCGAGCCAGCUGGAGGCCACUGCUGCUGCGAAGUCGUCGGCGGAGCAGGACCGCGAGAACACGAGGGCCACGCUAGAGCAGCAGCUUCGCGACUCCGAGACGCGCGCUGCGGAGCUGGCGAGUCAGCUGGAGUCCACUGCUGCUGCGAAGACGUCGGCGGAGCAGGACCGCGAGAACACGAGGGCCGCGUUGGAGCAGCGGCUUCGCGAAUCCGAGGCGCGCGCUGCGGAGCUGAAGGCCGAGCUGGAGGCCACUGCUGCCGCGAAGACGUCGGCGGAGCAGGACCGCGAGAACACGAGGGCCGCGUUGGAGCAGCGGCUUCGCGAAUCCGAGGCGCGCGCUGGGGAGCUGAAGGCCGAGCUGGAGGCCACUACUGCUGCGAAGACGUCGGCGGAGCAGGACCGCGAGAACACGAGGGCCACGCUAGAGCAGCAGCUUCGCGACUCCGAGGAGCGCGCUGCGGAGCUGGCGAGCCAGCUGGAGGCCACUGCUGCUGCGAAGUCGUCGGCGGAGCAGGACCGCGAGAACACGAGGGCCACGCUAGAGCAGCAGCUUCGCGAAUCCGAGGCGCGCGCUGGGGAGCUGGCGAGCCAGCUGGAGGCCACUGCUGCUGCGAAGUCGUCGGCGGAGCAGGACCGCGAGAACACGAGGGCUGCUCUGCAGGCGCGCGCUGCGGAGCUGAAGGCCGAGCUGGAGGCCACUGCUGCUGCGAAGACGUCGGCGGAGCAGGAUCGUGAGAGGACGAGGACCACGUUGCAGGAGCAGCUUCGCGAAUCCGAGGCGCGCGCUGCGGAGCUGAAGGCCGAGCUGGAGGCCACUGCUGCUGCGAAGUCGUCGGCGGAGCAGGACCGCGAGAACACGAGGGCUGCUCUGGAGGAGAAGCUAAGGGGCACCGAGGCGCGCGCUGCGGAGCUGGAGGCCCGCCUAAAGGCUAUCGCUGCGACAAAGGCAUCGAUCGAGCAGGAGAGGGAGAGCUCGAGGGCUUCUCUGGAGGAAAGGCUAAGGGGCUCUGAGGCGCGCGCUGCGGAGCUGGCUGCUCGGCUAAAGGCUGCUGCUGCUGCGAAGACGUCGGCGGAGCAGGAGCGUGAGAACACGAGGGUGACGUUGGAGCAGCAGCUUCGCGAAUCCGAGAAGCGCGCUGCGGAGCUGGCGAGUCAGCUGGAGUCCACUGCUGCUGCGAAGACGUCGGCGGAGCAGGACCGCGAGAACACGAGGGUCACGUUGGGGCAGCAGCUUCGCGAAUCCGAGGCGCGCGCUGCGGAGCUGAAGGCCGAGCUGGAGGCCGCUGCUGCUGCGAAGUCGUCGGCGGAGCAGGACCGCGAGAACACGAGGGCUGCUCUGGAGGAGAAGCUAAGGGGCACCGAGGCGCGCGCUGCGGAGCUGGCGGCCCGCCUAAAGGCUAUUGCUGCGAUGAAGGCGUCAAUGGUGCAGGAGCGGGAAAGCGCGAGGGAUGCUCUGGAGGAAAAGCUAAGGGGCUCUGAGGCGCGCGCUGCGGAGCUGGCUGCUCGGCUAAAGGCUGCUGCUGCUGCGAAGACGUCGGCGGAGCAGGAGCGUGAGAACACGAGGGUGACGUUGGAGCAGCAGCUUCGCGAAUCCGAGGAGCGCGCUGCGGAGCUGGCGAGUCAGCUGGAGGCCGCUGCUGCUGCGAAGUCGUCGGCGGAGCAGGACCGCGAGAACACGAGGGCUGCUCUGGAGGAGAAGCUAAGAGACUCCGAGGAGCGCGCUGCGGAGCUGGGAACCCGUGUAAAGGCUAGUUCUGCGGCGAAGGCUUUGGCGGAGCAGGAGCGGGACAGGAUAAGGGCUGCCCUGGAGGAGAAGUUGCGUGAUUCGGAGGCGCGCGCUGCGGAGCUGACGACCAAGCUGGAGGCCACUGUUGCUGCGAAGUCGUCGGCGGAGCAGGAGCGGGAAAAUAUAAAGGUGGCUUUAGAGGAAGAAUUGGUUGAUGCAAGGGCGAAAUUGGCUGGAAUGGAGGCGUCGUUGAAGGAAUCGAAGUUGGAGUUUGAAGGUCGUGUCGGGGAGCUUGAAGGAGAGUGCGAGAAGCUGAGGAAUGAUAAGGUCAGGUAUGCGAAAAAGGUUCAAUCGCUUGAGUAUCAGAUGCGCAUCGAUGAGGCUCGACUGAAGGCGCGUCGUGAUGCGGUUCAUCGAAAGGAGUGAGGCGAGGAUGUUAUAGCGGAGAGCUCGUCGUUGUCUUGAUGGGGAGGUGUUCUGCUGCGUCGCCGGCGUUACUGUAAUGGUUUUGCGGCGGUGGGUAGGGCGCGAUGCUGUUCUGCUGAUUUCUUAUUAUUAUAUCUCCAAUAUUAUAUUGACGACAUCUGCGGACUGACACCUGGCGCGCGGUCGUGACGGGAGUUGCUGACUGCGCAUGCUCGGUUUACAGUACCGCAGACGAUGCCGUCGUCUUUUCGAUUGCGAAUCAGUGCUGCCGGUGGGCUAUGCCGCACUUUCAUCGAGAUGCUUUUCCAAAAAAAAA
rnacentral:misc_RNA from 1 species